rnacentral:tRNA from 1 species
GGUGAAGUAGCUCAGCAGGUAGAGCAAUGCACUGUUAAUGUAUCGGUCAAAGGUUCGAUCCCUUUCUUCUCCGC